rnacentral:rRNA from 1 species
AUGCUGCGCCCCUACCUGCAGCACGUCGUGUCCGUCGCCGACGUGAUGGAGCUGUGCCGCCGCGAGCUGCGGCUCUACGCCAACACCGGCGCCCUCGCGCCGCGCUGGGCGUCGGCCCUCUUCACCCACCUGGCCACGCUUGACGCGGUCGCCAUGGACCCAGAGCUCAAGACCCGCGUCCGCUCUGACCUGGAGAGCUUCCUCAAGGGACGCGCCUACUACCACUGCUUGGGCCGCGUCUGGCGCCGGAGCUACCUGCUCUACGGCCCGCGCGGCACAGGCAAGUCCACGUUCGCCGCUGCGAUGGCGAGGUUCCUCAGGUACGACAUCUACGACAUCGACCUCUCCCGCGCCGGCGCCGACGAACUCCGCGCGCUGCUCGUGGACACCGCCCCGCGGUCGCUAACGGGCGGCAGGCGAGCGCCGUCAGCCCUUAGCGCGGCCGCCGUCCUGACCGGUGGGCCAGCUCUGUCAGAAUCGCGUUUAAACCGGUUAGAUCUGUCUUCAAAUAGUAUUUUGUCACGAAAUUAG